rnacentral:misc_RNA from 1 species
AUGAAACUUGUUGAGUUCAGUUUUUCUAGGAUCUUUGGUGAGGAUGCUGGUAUGUGGGUCAAGUUUGUUGAUGAUGGGAUUCAUGAACUCUUUCGGGAAUAUCUUGCACCAAAUCUUUCUGUAUCGACUUCUUUUAUGGAAGCAGAGGAUAUGGGCAUCCCUCAAUCAGAGAUACUUCAAGAAGUACCCCCUAAAGAAGUAGCACCCCAGGAAGCACACUUUGAAGUACCCCUUCAAUUGGAUAACCCUGCAAAUGCAUCUCCACAAGAAGUCCACUCUCAAGGAGCAGCCUUUCAAGAUGUAAAGCCUGAAGAAGCAACUCCCCAAGUGCACUCUAAAGAUGAACCUCCACAAGAUGCAUCUCAUCAAAUGAUGUACCAUCUUGAAGAAGCUGAACAAAAGGUGCACCCUCAGGAAGUAUCAAUGCGAGAGAUGCAGACUCAGGAAAUACCAGUACAGGAGAUGGACACUCGAGAAAUACCAGUGCAGGAGAUGCGUGCUCAAGAAGCAUCAGUGCCAGAGAUGCAUGCUCAAGAAACACCAGUGCAGGAGAUUCCCUCUCAAGAAGCACCAGCGC